UACGUAGGGGGCAAGCGUUGUCCGGAUUUAUUGGGCGUAAAGAGCGUGUAGGCGGUUUGGUAGGUCCGCUGUGAAAACUCGAGGCUCAACCUCGAGACGCCGGUGGAAACCAUCAGACUAGAGUCCGGAAGAGGAGAGUGGAAUUCCUGGUGUAGUGGUGGAAUGCGUAGAUAUCGGGAGGAACACCAGUGGCGAAGGCGGCUCUCUGGACCGGUUCUGACGCUCAGGCGCGAAAGCGUGGGGAGCGAUCCGG
rnacentral:rRNA from 1 species